CGCAACAUUUGCUUUUGAGCCAGAUAUCAUGAAUUCAUUGUAUUGUCCCCUCAUACUAAUAAUCUCGCUGUCUGGAAUAAGUGGCCAAGAUUCAGCAUUCCAACAUCUACCUGAAAUGCCAGUUGAAGAAAUUCAGACCGUAACAUUGAACUGUACUUAUUCCACAAAGUAUAGUGGGGAAACUCUCUUCUGGUACAUCCAGUAUCCAGGAAAAUCUCCAAAAUAUAUCCUGAAGGUAUUCAACAAGGAUGAAGGGGAGAAGUCUUCUCAUUUUUCCGACCGGUUUACUGCAUAUUUGGACAAAGAAAAGAAAAUAGUCCAAUUAUAUAUUUCAGCGGUUCACAUCUCUGACUCCGGCAUGUAUCUCUGUGCGCUGAGGCCCACAUUGAUGCAGAGGCACUCUCAGCCCGCACAAAAACAGUUAUGCACUCUCACCUCCGCUUUCUUGAUCAGAUCCUUGAGCUGAGUCGUGAAGCAUUAGUACAAUAA